ensembl:lncRNA
AUGAGGAAACUGAUGCCUGCAGAUGUGGUGACUUGUCAAAAUGCAUUGAGAUAAUGAGGUAAGAAAAUUAAACACACACACAUAGCACACAAAUAAGCAAAUACAUAUCUCUUAACAAUUAGUCCAAAAUCUGUUUUUUCUAGAAAAUUCAAAGAAAUUUUAUGCUAAAGUAGUAUUUUUUAACAUAAGAUAUAUAUUUUUUAAAUUCUUGUAUCAAAAUAUAGGGACAGAUUUACUUUUCUUUCUCUUUUCCCUUCAGCCAUAUAUAGAUUAUUCAUUGCAAAUCACUCAGGUACAAAACAUGUUCUCUUGAUUCAUGAAAGCGUCUUUGAUCUUCAUGUAAAUAAACAGUCUGUCUUCCUCCCAUAGGACUGUUUCAUGAAAAUGAUUUCUUUCAUCAAGUAGUUUGUCUCAUCCCAGUGAACAUCAAGGUAGUUUUCUUCAGAGCUUCAAACAAGCAUUUCCUACACAUUUACAGGAAAUAUACUAAACAUAAUAAAUGGCAGCCUACCUCACCAUCUCUUCCUGGGAAGCUAAGCACAGACAGUGAGAGACUUAUGUCAAUAAUUCUCAUACAUUGUGGGAAAACCAUGAUGAGUCAGACAUUGAAGUCAUAAUGGCUUGAACUGAGACUUCACAUGACCAUGUCCUCUUCUUUCGAUGAAAUUCUAUAAGAUGUUCCCUUCAGGGAAAAGGCUAUUCCUGUUAUGAAAAAAGAUGCUGUCUGAUGUUUUAAUUUGGCACUAGGAAGUAAAUGCAUAUAUGGGAGAAGGAAGAACCUAGACUAUGAAAAAUCAGAAAUUUAGAUAGGAGGACAAACAUCUUUUAUUAAACUUAGAAAUGAAUCAUGUUAAUGAUACAAAAUUCAAAAGAAGAAGUGCAAUUUUCAGAGAACAUAUAUUUUUAGUAAGACCAGAAGAAAAACCCUUUGAGGCAAGAUGGAACCUUCCAAGAUCCAGACGCUCAGGCUCCCAUGUGAUCCUUGGUCACAAGCCACUGUCAAUCAUACCUAGAUACAUGAACUCCAUACAGGAUGACAGUAUGUGAGAACAACUUUCAAAAAGAAACUACUGAUUCCUUUUACUGAGAAUAAUUAUUGCAGUGUAUGAACAGAUAUGGUAACAAUUGGAGGCAGCAUUUUCACAUGAUGGACAUUACCAAGCUUCAUCUUUAGACUAAGUAAACUAUAGCUUUGAGGUGUCAUGGCAAUUGCUUGCAUUGCUGACUGAUGUGGCAGAUCCCUCUGUGUCUGUUCUGUUGCUGCUUGAACCAAAAACAUUCCUGCUUGUGGGCAAGAGUAAAUUUUCAGGAGAAUCAUGUUACUGACUGUCUAGUGAGCCAUGUGGAAAUCGUGGAGCUUUUAGCUGAGUUUUCACAAGUGAUAUGAAGAAUAUCUGGAUUUAAUCAUCAGGUUUGACAUCCUUGCCACUGCAACUGAUCAUCUAUUCUUUUUGAAUUAUUAUGUAUUUUGGUCACCAUUAUCUGUUCAUAAUUUCUGAGUGUUUCCUUUCCAAACUAUAUUCCAAUAUGUUUAGUAUUGUUAUUCUGUGAUGUGAAAUAACCUAUCUAUUCACAUUUCUUUCUGGUGAAUGAUCCAAGAGAGAAAAGACAUUGUUUUUAUCUUUAAUUAGUUUCUACCAGCUACUUACAACAAUUCAUAUUUAGGGAAAUGAAAGAUUUUCUGAAUAAUAUUCAUUGUUAUUUUUGGAACAUGGACUCCAUUGACUGAAACACAAUGGUACUUUAAAACACAUGGACUGGCUCAUGUGGGGUAUAUCUAAUGUUGAAUCUUUCCAAUAACCAUGAGAAUAGGCUACUAAAUCCAAAUUUAAGUAUUCAUUUAUUAGAAUAGCUUAUCUAGAAUUCCAUUAACUUAAAUAUUAUUUUUUCUCUAGCCAUAGUCUUUCUCCUGAGCUCCAGACAUCUAUUGCCAGUUGUUAAUUAAAUAUUUCAAACUGGAUGAUCAGUUUUUGUUUAUUAGUUAUUCAUUUGUGUUUGAUUCUUCUUCUACUGUUAACCAUAGC